UACAGAGGUCUCAAGCGUUGUUCGGAUUCAUUGGGCGUAAAGGGUGCGUAGGCGGCGCGGUAAGUCGGGUGUGAAAUCUCGGAGCUUAACUCCGAAACUGCAUUCGAUACUGCCGUGCUUGAGGACUGGAGAGGAGACCGGAAUUUACGGUGUAGCGGUGAAAUGCGUAGAUAUCGUAAGGAAGACCAGUGGCGAAGGCGGGUCUCUGGACAGUUCCUGACGCUGAGGCACGAAGGCCAGGGGAGCAAACGGG
rnacentral:rRNA from 1 species